GACAGAGGGUGCAAACGUUGUUCGGAAUUACUGGGCGUAAAGCGCGUGUAGGCGGCCCUGCAAGUCGGAUGUGAAAUCCCACGGCUCAACCGUGGAAGUGCAUUCGAAACUGCAGGGCUAGAGUCCUGGAGAGGAAGGUGGAAUGCUUGGUGUAGAGGUGAAAUUCGUAGAUAUCAAGCGGAACACCCGUGGCGAAGGCGGCUCUCUGGGACGGUACUGACGCUGAGACGCGAAAGCGUGGGGAGCGAACAGG
rnacentral:rRNA from 1 species